CGCUCUGUCUGCUCCAGUAUCAGAUAUUUCCCCCGAGAAACAUCCGACUCUUACUAACAUGGGCAAGGAAAGGACCAGCGUCAACAUGGCCGUCGUCGGCUACUACUAGACCUUCUAUCAGCAGAUGGACGGCUAGUACAACACGGACAUGACCCGGCUUCUGUACACGGACACGCUCUGGACACGGACGAUACGAUGCUAGCUCUCCCGGAUUAUUACAACUCAACAUGAUUGGCUUUUUAUGAAAUAUAUCAAAAUUCUUCCGUUUAA
rnacentral:lncRNA from 1 species